GGCCGGUUGGUGUAGUGGUUAACACGUCUGAAUAUCAAUCUUGCCCAAGGUGUGAUGGUUGUCCCCUGGAUUCCGUUACUUGACUCGAACAUUUGUUCAAUUCUUCAUCUAAGCAGAUGCAAUUCAGAAGAUCGUGGGAUCAAUCCCCACAUCGGCCA
rnacentral:tRNA from 1 species